AGAGAGACUAUUGUAUUGGUAAGGGAAAAAAGAAUGAGAGGAAUUUAAGGGCAAAUAUAUAUAUUUGUUUAAAGCCUCGAUUUUUUCUAAUUUAGUUGUAAUUAAUUUAAUAUAAUUAUUGAAUACUAUUUUUUAGAAAUACCUAUAGUUUUCAUUUUCUUGAAUCUGAACGAAUAAUAAAAAGGCUCCACUUUGACACCUAAGCUCUUUACAUAUCUAUCGAUCUUUCUCCUGUUUUUUUUCUUAAUUUUUUAAAAUUUUAUUUUUUGGUUGAGGUUUCUUCAGGGUUUCUUCUUCUCGAUGGUUCACACUUGUUGUGUUCACACCAUAUCCACAUAAAUCUUUCCUGGUUUUUUUUUUUUUUGUCUCUAUCUUUUUCUUUCUUUUUUUCCUUUUCUGGAUCAGUAAUCUUUUGUUGGGUGUAAAGAAAAAAAACUUAAUAAUCUCAGGGGAUUUGUCUGGUUUUGCGUUUAAUAGUUGUUUAUGGAGGGACAUCAUCGCCAUCAUCAUCAUCAGCAGCAGCAACAUCUGCAGCAACAACAACAGCCUGUAAGUGUCAACGUUGAAGCUGAUAGGUUUCCUCAAUGGAGUGUUCAAGAGACAAAGGAUUUUUUAAUGAUCAGAGCAGAGCUGGAUCAAAGUUUCAUGGAGACCAAAAGGAACAAGCUGCUUUGGGAAGUUAUCUCCACCAGGAUGAGGGAAAAGGGUUAUAAUCGAAGCGCUGAACAGUGCAAGUGCAAGUGGAAAAACCUCUUUACUCGUUACAAGGGAUGUGGAACGGUUGACGCAGAAAUUGUGCGGCAACAGUUCCCGUUUUACGACGAGUUGCAGGCCAUAUUCACGGCGAGGAUGCAAAGUGUUCUAUGUUCGGAAAGUGAAGGCGGAGGAGCUACGGGGUCGAAAAAAAAGGCAGCACAGGCGCAGCUAUCUUCCGACGAGGAAGACGAUACGGAGGAAAACGAGUACAGCUUUAGGAAGAAGAAGAAAGGGAAAACUGGUGGUGGGAGUAGUAGUACGAGCGGCAGCAUUAAUAUAAAGGAAAUGUUAGCGAACUUCAUGAGGCAACAGUUGCAGAUGGAAAUGCAAUGGAGGGAAGCUUUGGAGUCGAGAGAAAACGAGAGGCGGAUGAAGGAAAUGGAGUGGAGGCAAACCAUGGAAGCCCUUGAAAACGAGAGGAUAAUGAUGGAGAGAAGAUGGAGGGAAAGGGAAGAACAAAGGAGAGUAAGGGAAGAAGCUAGGGCUGAGAAGAGAGAUGCUCUCAUUACUGCACUUUUAAACAAGCUUAGAAGAGAAGAUCAAAUGUAGUGCAACUCCCGAAGAUUCACUCUAGUCUCCCCAGCAGUCUCAUUUUAUGGAUGACCUAGGCGACCAUGAACAAAAAAGGCUCCAAGGUCUAGAUAUAUGUUGGUGGUAGUUGAAGAAAUUAAAACAAUUAAUCUACAGCAAUCGAUCCACAAACGAUAGUGUUUCCAGAUGAGGUUGCAGGUUGGCACUAGUUUUUGUCCAUUACGUACAUGGCUUUUUUCAUCAUCAACUGGCAGAGGCAGAAGUAAUUCUUUUGUGUGCCUUGACUAUGUAAUCUGAUUUCAUUUUUUCACUUAAAGUCAAAUCAUUAUUAGCUGCUGGUUUAUAUAUUUAUAUGUCUUCUGUUUCAUAACCGGGUGAAAGUAUCGUGACAACCUGGAUUACCUUUUGUUUUUUCUGUUUGAAAAAUUAGUAAAUUAGUCUAUGUAAUUGAAUCAAAUAGUAAAUUAAUUUUUUUAUUAAAAA